UACGAAGGGUGCAAGCGUUAUCCGGAUUCAUUGGGUUUAAAGGGUGCGUAGGCGGGGCGUUAAGUCAGUGGUGAAAUCCUACAGCUCAACUGUAGACUUGCCAUUGAUACUGACGCUCUUGAGUGCGCUUGAAGUAGGCGGAAUGUGCCGUGUAGCGGUGAAAUGCUUAGAUAUGGCACAGAACACCGAUUGCGAAGGCAGCUUACUAAGGCGAUACUGACGCUGAGGCACGAAAGCGUGGGGAUCGAACAGG
rnacentral:rRNA from 1 species